AUUGAACGCUGGCGGCAGGCCUAACACAUGCAAGUCGAACGAGUGGCGGACGGGUGAGUAAUGUCUGGGAACCUGCCUGAUGGAGGGGGAUGACUACUGGACACGGUAGCUAAUACCGCAUACCAUCGGAUGUGCCCAGAUGGGAUUAGCUAGUGGGUGGGGUAACGGCUCACCUAGGCGACGCUCCCUAGCUGGUCUGAGAGGAUGACAAGCUACACUGGAACGGAGACACGGUCCAGACUCCUACGGGAGGCAGCAGGGGGGAAAAUUGCACAAUGGGCGGAAGCCGGAUGUAGCCAUGCCGAGUGUAGGAAGAAGGCCUGCGGGUUGUAAAGUACUUUCAGCGGGGAGGCGUUACCCGAAGAAGAAGCACCGGCUAACUCCGUGCCAGCCGCCGCGGUAAUAC
rnacentral:rRNA from 1 species